rnacentral:rRNA from 1 species
AUUGAACGCUAGCGGGAUGCCUUACACAUGCAAGUCGAACGAGUGGCGAACGGGUGAGUAAUGUAUCGGAAUGUGCCCAGUAGCGGGGGAUAACUACGCGAAAAGUAGCUAAUACCGCAUACUUUUGGAGCGGCCGAUAUCGGAUUAGUUAGGUGGUGGGGUAACGGCUCACCAAGGCCACGAUCCGUAGCUGGUUUGAGAGGAGGACCAGCCAAACUGGGACGUGACCACGGCCCAGACGCCUACGGGAGGCAGCAGUGGGGAAUUUUGGACAAGGGGGGAAACCCUGAGACAGCCAUCCCGCGUGUGGGAUGAAGGCCUUCGGGUUGUAAAGCACUUUUGGCAGGAAAGCGGUACCUGCAGAAUAAGCACCGGCUAACUACGUGCCAGCAGCCGCGGUAAUUC